UACAGGGGGGGCAAGCGUUGUUCGGAAUUACUGGGCGUAAAGGGCUCGUAGGUGGCCAACUAAGUCAGACGUGAAAUCCCUCAGCUUAAACUGGGGGAACUGCGUCUGAUACUGGAUGGCUUGAGUUUGGGAGAGGGAGUGCGGAAUUCCAGGUGUAGCGGUGAAAUGCGUAGAUAUCUGGAGGAACACCGGUGGCGAAGGCGGCAUCCUGGACCAACACUGACACUGAGGAGCGAAAGCCAGGGGAGCAAACGGG
rnacentral:rRNA from 1 species